rnacentral:rRNA from 1 species
CCUACGGGAGGCAGCAGUGAGGAAUAUUGGUCAAUGGACGAGAGUCUGAACCAGCCAAGUAGCGUGAAGGAUGACUGCCCUAUGGGUUGUAAACUUCUUUUAUAUGGGAAUAAAAUGUUCCACGUGUGGCAUUUUGUGUGUACCCUAUGAAUAAGGAUCGGCUAACUCCGUGCCAGCAGCCGCGGUAAUACGGAGGAUCCGAGCGUUAUCCGGAUUUAUUGGGUUUAAAGGGAGCGUAGGUGGAUUGUUAAGUCAGUUGUGAAAGUUUGCGGCUCAACCGUAAAAUUGCAGUUGAAACUGGCAGUCGUGAGUACAGGAGAGGUGGGCGGAAUGCGUGGUGUAGCGGUGAAAUGCUUAGAUAUCACGAAGAACUCCGAUUGCGAAGGCAGUGUACUGGCGUGCAACUGACGCUGAGGCUCGAAAGCGUGGGUAUCAAACAGGAUUAGAUACCCUUGUAGUC